CAGUAGCCGCGGGAAAACGUAGGGUGCGAGCGUUAAUCGGAAUUACUGGGCGUAAAGCGUGCGCAGGCGGUUUUGUAAGACAGGCGUGAAAUCCUCGGGCUUAACCUGGGAAUGGCGCUUGUGACUGCAAGGCUAGAGUGCGUCAGAGGGGGGUAGAAUUCCACGUGUAGCAGUGAAAUGCGUAGAGAUGUGGAGGAAUACCGAUGGCGAAGGCAGCCCCCUGGGACGAGACUGACGCUCAUGCACGAAAGCGUGGGGAGCAAACAGGAUUAGAUACCCCAGUAGUCCCUGUCUCUUAUAC
rnacentral:rRNA from 1 species